CUAGAACUGGUCUUUUGACACAAAAACUACUGAAGGGUUUUUUGAAACUUGGCACUGAAUAACGAAUAGUAGUCAGAAGCCAGAAAAUCUGACAACCAGUAUUGCCAAGGGGUUGCUCAGGUACCCAAGGAGGUCGGAGUGGAAGCCGAAGGUUUAAACUUACAUUCUGCCUCUGCCUGAACUAAAACUUUUGUGAAACUUGAACGUGGCGUUAAGUUAAUGCAAGUUUAAACCUAUUAAAAUGAAAACAACAACUGGAGUGAACGAUCAAAACAAAUGAAUGAGCUAUAAACAAGGCUAGGGAGAUACAAAGGGACUGAAUAAUAAGGCAGAUAAUAACAAUAUGGAUGUUUUUUUAGACCUCGCGAUUCGACGACGACACG